UACGUAGGGGGCAAGCGUUGUUCGGAAUGACUGGGCGUAAAGGGUGCGUAGGCGGUGUAGCAAGUUAGAAGUGAAAUACCUAGAGCUUAACUCAGGUGCUGCUUCUAAAACUGCUAUACUUGAGUGCAGUAGAGGAAAGUGGAAUUCCUAGUGUAGCGGUGGAAUGCGUAGAUAUUAGGAGGAACAUCAGUGGCGAAGGCGACUUUCUGGACUGUAACUGACACUGAGGCUCGAAAGCGUGGGGAGCAAACAGG
rnacentral:rRNA from 1 species